UACGGGGGGGGGUAAGCGUUGUUCGGAAUUACUGGGCGUAAAGGGCUCGUAGGCGGCCAACUAAGUCGGAUGUGAAAUCCCCAGGCUUAACCUGGGAACUGCAUCCGAUACUGGAUGGCUUGAAUCCGGGAGAGGGAUGCAGAAUUCCGGGUGUAGCGGUGAAAUGCGUAGAUAUCUGGAGGAAUACCGGUGGCGAAGGCGGCAUCCUGGACCGGCAUUGACGCUGAGUGAGCGAAAGCCAGGGGAGCAAACGGGG
rnacentral:rRNA from 1 species